AAUAAGGUAAUUUUCGAAUUUUUAGGUACAAUGUUUUGACUCUUCGUUUUAUUUGAAAUUUUUUGUGGUUAAUAUUUUUAUUGUUAUUGGGUGAUAAAAUAUGAAUAAUACUUUAUGCGUGACUAAUUUUUUAAGUUUUUUAAUAAAAUUUUUAAAUAAGACGAAUUGUCAAAGCAUUGGGUACUAAAAUCGAAAAAUAACGUUAUU
rnacentral:pre_miRNA from 1 species